AUGUUUUUUAUUUUUAUUUUUUUGUUCUUUUUUUUUGUUUUAGGAAUGUGGCGCCUUCAGGUUCAUAUCGCACAAGGGCGGCAAGCAAGCGUCGUUCAGUUUUCAGCACUGAAGACAAUCUUAGCCACGGGGAAGUUCAAAAACGCUGGACACACAAGUACUCUGGCUCUUUUGCCCCAAGGCUGCGCUGGCUGUGCCAAGCCAACAUCAAAGUUCGUGUUCAAACUUUAGCUUCUAGUUAAGUUGGCUUGAGAAAGACCUGAUCUACUAUAUAGACUUAUUAUAAUUAUUAUUAUCCUGAGUCAGAAUUUAAACACUAUCUCCUCCUAGAGUUUUAACGCUAUAACCACCAAACUCAGCCCAGACCUUCAGACUGGUCUGACUCGGUAUGUUAAAGGGGUCAUAUGAUACAAUAUAAAGUUUUCCUUUUUCUUUAGAGUGUUAAAAGCUCUUGGUGCAUAAAGAAGAUCUGUAAAGUUGCAAAGACUAAAGUCUCAAACCCAAAGAGAUAUUCUUUAUAAAGGUUAAGAAUCAACCACAACCCCCUUAAAACGGUUAGUUCUAACACGCCCCCACAUGUCUACAUCAUGAUGUGGGGAAGAUUUGCAUAACAGUGUCCAAAUGUUCAAGCAAAGAAAGAAGGCAUAACUUUGAUUCUUGCUGUUGCCGCCGGCGCCAUGUUGUGGAGACGUUUCGUUGUGAAAGCAAAAAUACUUUGUUUGGCCUUCCAAAAGAGGACACAACUAGAAAUCAGUGGCCAAGUUGUAUUUACAACACUGUUCCAGAACCGUUCAACACAAAUAUUUAGUGUACAACACAUUUAAUGGAGGACUUGUUUCUGAUCCUGGGAGAGAAGAUUACAAUGCCGGCUGUUCUGACUCACAGUCUGUAAGUACGUUUACAUAUGUAAAGGAUUUGCCACUGAUGAUUCAAACGCGAGUUUUGAGCAGUGUAGAGCAGCGGUUCUCAAUUCCAGUCCUCGUGCCCCCCUGCUCUGCACAUUUUGUUUGUCUCUUAUCGCUUCAGACGUUUGUUCUAUUUGAACGUAAGUGUCCUGUAAAGUGGACAUCACACGAUAUUCCACCAUGAUUCCAGUUUGAAGCGACUGUAUAUGUUCCAUCCAAAGUGCAUUGAAGUGUGAGAGAUGUGAAUUUAAAUUGUAUUUAUUUACAGAGGUAUAUGAUGUCACACUUGUCCGUGUGUGAAGACAUUGCGCAGCACAAAUCUGUGAAUAAAUGUUCGGAAGUAAGGUGAACUUCA
ensembl:lncRNA